CAGAAUGUAAGAGAACAUCAAAGUUGACGACUACACGGACUAAGCUAUGAUGUCCAUGACGGUCAGUCACAUAAGUGAGCAUCAUGAGUCCCAGCUCAGUAAUUGUCUAAAUGAUUUUAAGUCCAUUGACAUCCAAGAUCUUAGGAACUAUCCAACUAAGCACAUCAACUCCACUGAAUACUGAAAGAUGAGGAAAGGGUUGUUCUCAGCCACUAAUGUUUUGAGUGACUUGUUAUGCAGUAAUAAAUGACCUUCCACACUCAAAGUGAUUAGGAUUCAGAAUGAAUAUACUACAUAAAGAGCAACUACAGACCAUGUGUAGUCUUGGCUGUCCUGGAACUGCUCUGUGAUCUGCCUACCUCUGCCUGGACUAAAGGCAUAUGUCACCACUGCCAGCCAGCAAAACUUCAGACUUUUAAAUGAUUAAUUUUCUUAAGUUGAAAAGGACUAAUUUUGAAACUUAAGAAAAACCUCUAACUCUUCAAAAGAGAAAUGUAUUCACAGGAGGAAAAUAAAAAUGGCUACUAAGCACUAAUUUUUCAUUACUUAAAGGAACCUUAAUAUUUAAAUGCUUCUAAUGAAAACAUAAAACAUCAGAAUAUUCUAUAUCAUAAAAAUUUCUGAGACUAAAUUCAAGUAUAAUUUUUAAAGUGCUAAGUCAAACAAGACAUUGUGUGUGUGUACAUGUGUGUACAUGUGUGUGUGCCUGUGUAUGAGUGUGUAUGAGUGUGUGCGAGGAUGUGUGUCUAUGUGUGUGCAUGUGUGUGCGUGUGUGUGUGCAUGGAUAUGUGUGUGCAUGUGUGUGAGUGUGUGUGCCUGUGUAUGAGUAUGAGAGUGUGUGUGCAUGUGUAUGAGUGUAUGCAUGUGUGUGUGCCUGUGUACAAGUGUAUGCAUGUGUGUGUGCCUGUGUAAGAGUGUAUGUGUGUGCAUGUGUGUGCUCUCCUUUUUAGUGUUAGAAGAAAGGUACUGAGAACAUGACUGGAGGAGUCAUCAGUGUACUACCCAGUUGUGAACCCUGUAAGCUACAGUAACAUGUUAAAGGAGAAAUCACCCACUUUAUGAUUUAAAAACUGAAACUCAUACCUGGUACUGAUAUUGGGACCAAGAACACCUCGAGUGGUCAUAGGUCUUAACAGAAAACCUAUACUACUCUGCUAAGUGAAUAUAGUGUUAAACCAACACCUAAUGACAUUAUUAUACCUAUAAAUUACUGCAUAUUUCAGCCUUCAUUGAAGAAGGUUCUUUUUGUAGUAUAUGGCGAUUAACACAGAGACUUAAACUGGUCAAGGCACAUAGAAAAUGAAACUAGAAUGUUCAGUCUUAAAUGGGACAUCUCUAGCACUUCCCCCUCCUCCCAAGUCUCAAGGAUCAUUACGCAGCAAAUGGGAAGAUUAAGAGUCGUAGAGGACGCAAACAAAGAAAUACUGGUUUAGGACACAACAGACACGUUUCACUCUGGUACCCAUUCAGGAUUGUGAAUCCUAAAAGACCGCCAAAGAGCCCAUUCCGAUGCAAUCACACUAGGGUCUCUUUUAUUCAAGCAGCCAGACAGGAGGGUGAAGCCCCAAGCCUUCAGCAGGACAAAGGUUUAUAGGAAAUGUCGAGCAAGAGAGGGGGUGCCCAGCCUGGCAAACAUCUCUCUGAGUGACUGUUAUAAGCUGACAGGUGGGUGCUCUGAAGCAAGACCAUGAACACUCACAAACGGUCUGAAAGUACAUCCGGGACUAUCAGACUAAUCCUGAUUGGCUGUUGUUAGGGAGUAUCUAGGAAGCAAUUCUGAGGUAUGGGCCGGGACAAGCCAUAGGGUCCUUCCUGGUACUUGGGUGCAGCUUGAGUUCAGCUGCAGGUCAAGUUCUCAGGCUCUUUUUCUUUUAAAACGGAGGCUGGUCCCAAGAUGGAGUAGGUUUGGCCUCUCAACACAUAUGAACUCACAAGAGGUUAUGACAUCAUACAAAAGACUCAGGCCAAUUCACAUCAGACCAAGAUUCCAUCCUAGAAGACAGAUAAGCUUAAAGUCUUACCCUAGCGAAGGAGCGAUUGGAAACUGAGAGUUGCCGAGAGUGGGAGAGUCAGUUUUUUAAGCCCUUUAUUGAUGACUAUUAGAAAUUCCCUUUUGGCUCAGAGUGGUUAAGAACACCAACUGCUCUUCCAGAGGUCCUGAGUUCAAUUCCCAGCAACCACAUGGUGGCUCACAACCAUCUACAACUCCAGCUCCCAGAAAGAUCCAGCGCCUUCUUUUUCCUCUGUGGGAACCAGUCAUGAAUAUGCACGCCCGGGCCAUCCAUGUAAAACACAGAACAUAAAAGAAGAAAUUCUCUUACCUCGUUUGAAAUAGCUUCAGAUUUUCUGUAAUGAAUAUCUGUUUAAAAAAAUUACAAGUUCUCUGUUUUAUUUAAAUAAUAUUGCAUUACUUACAUGU